GCUGCUCCGAUGCUCCAGAGCGGCCAUGGGCGCCCCGCACUGGUGGGACCAGCUGCGGGCUGGCAGCUCGGAGGUGGAUUGGUGCGAGGACAACUACACCAUCGUGCCUGCCAUCGCCGAGUUCUACAACACGAUCAGCAACGUCCUGUUUUUCAUUUUACCGCCCAUCUGCAUGUGCUUGUUCCGCCAGUACGCCACGUGCUUCAACAGCGGCAUCUAUUUAAUAUGGACUCUCCUAGUUGUAGUGGGGGCAGGUUCAAGGCAGUGGUGUGUGUCCUGUCUGCAGUUACAACAUGCCUGGCGUUUGUCAAGCCUGCUAUCAACAAUAUCUCUCUGAUGAUUCUGGGGGUUCCGUGCACUGCGCUGCUCAUUGCAGAGCU
rnacentral:lncRNA from 1 species